rnacentral:rRNA from 1 species
UACGAAGGGGGCUAGCGUUGCUCGGAAUCACUGGGCGUAAAGGGCGCGUAGGCGGCCAUUCAAGUCGGGGGUGAAAGCCUGUGGCUCAACCACAGAAUUGCCUUCGAUACUGUUUGGCUUGAGUUUGGUAGAGGUUGGUGGAACUGCGAGUGUAGAGGUGAAAUUCGUAGAUAUUCGCAAAGAACACCAGUGGCGAAGGCGGCCAACUGGACCAACACUGACGCUGAGGCGGCGGAAAAGCGUGGGGGAGCAAACAGG